rnacentral:rRNA from 1 species
CUUGGUGGCUAUAGAGUAGGGGAAACACCUCUUCCCAUCCCGAACAGAGAAGUUAAGCCCUACAUCGCCAAUGGUACUGCGUGGGCGACUGCGUGGGAGAGUAGGUUGCUGCCAAGC